UAAGGAAUAUUGGUCAAUGGAGGCAACUCUGAACCAGCCAUGCCGCGUGAAGGAUUAAGGCCCUCUGGGUUGUAAACUUCUUUUAUAUGGGAAGAAAUGUACUUUUUCUAAAGUGCUUGACGGUACCAUAGGAAUAAGCACCGGCUAACUUCGUGCCAGCAGCCGCGGUAAUACGGAGGGUGCAAGCGUUAUCCGGAUUUACUGGGUUUAAAGGGUGCGUAGGCGGAUGAAUAAGUCAGUGGUGAAAUCUCCGAGCUUAACUCGGAAACUGCCGUUGAUACUAUUUGUCUUGAAUAUUGUGGAGGUAAGCGGAAUAUGUCAUGUAGCGGUGAAAUGCUUAGAUAUGACAUAGAACACCAAUUGCGAAGGCAGCUUGCUACACAAUCAUUGACGCUGAGGCACGAAAGCGUGGGGAUCAAACA
rnacentral:rRNA from 1 species